GGGCCGGCCCAACGCUUUAAAGGGACAGCACGGGGCGCGCGCUUCCCGCUUAAAAGCUUUAAUCCCCGAAUUUGACUGGUGCAGGCCCUUCUAAUGCACUUCCUAAAAACUGAAGUAUAAUAAUACAUACAGGAAAGUGCUAGUGUGCCCUCGCGUUUCCACAGACAGCACGCCCUGUACACAGACACCAGCGGCCCUCCGGGACCUGCGCAGGUGGCGUCGCCCGGCGUUGUCUCCGGAGUCGAUUCGGGCCGGGGCACCUCCCCGGGCGACCAGGCCCCUUCUUGAUCAUCGCUGGUACGGAUGAGAGCGGCAGUGGGCAUUUGGAAAGCACCUGGGGCCGCGCCCGGGCGCAGUGCCCCCAUGUGGCCUCCCACCCCGGGCGGGCAG
rnacentral:lncRNA from 1 species